AUACAGAGGGUGUAAGCGUUAAUCGGAUUUACUGGGCGUAAAGCGCGCGUAGGUGGCUAAUUAAGUCAAAUGUGAAAUCCCCGAGCUUAACUUGGGAAUUGCAUUCGAUACUGGUUAGCUAGAGUAUGGGAGAGGAUGGUAGAAUUCCAGGUGUAGAGGUGAAAUGCGUAGAGAUCUGGAGGAAAACCGAUGGCGAAGUCAGCCUUCUUGCCUAAUGCUGACGCUUGAUUGAAAAAGCAUGGGGAGCAAACAAGAUUAGAUUCCCUGGUAGUCCAUGCCGUAAACGAUGUCUACUAGCCGUUGGGGCCCUUGAGGCUUUAGUGGCGCAGCUAACGCGAUAAGUAGACCGCCUGGGGAGUACGGUCGCAAGACUAAAACUCAAAUGAAUUGGCGGGG
rnacentral:rRNA from 1 species